CCCUUAGAUGUUCUGGGCCGCACGCGCGCUACACUGAUGCAUUCAACGAGCCUAUCCUUGACCGACAGGUCCGGGUAAUCUUUGAAUCUGCAUCGUGACGGGGAUAGAUUAUUGCAAUUAUUAAUCUUCAACGAGGAAUGCCUAGUAGGCGCAAGUCAUCAGCUUGCGUCGAUUACGUCCCUGCCCUUUGUACACACCGCCCGUCGCACCUACCGAUUGAAUGGUCCGGUGAAGCCUCCGGAUUGGCGCGCACCUCGGUGCCGCCGAGAAGUUGGCUAAACCUUACCAUUUAGAGGAAGGUGAAGUCGUAACA
rnacentral:rRNA from 1 species